GGGAAUGUCUUUACCUUUCCCAGGGCUUAGCAUUGAGCCUUCCAGGAGGUUGCUUCUCUGUAGACUGUAAAGAACUUCACAAGAAAGGGCUGUAGCCUGUGGACUCAAAGCAACUGAAGUAUCUAAGCUAAUUUACACAAGUCUCCAAGAAUGGAAAACAGGCCUCUGGCAUGGACUGUAACCUGCUUCUAAAUGAAGGCACUCAAACUUUCUCUGAACAUAUGAAACAUCUUAUCCCACCAGAAACUUGAAGACCAGUGGACUCAUCAAAACAAACAAACAAAGCCAACCAACCAACAAACAAACUAACAACACCAUACAACAAAGAACCCUAAGACUAAAAUCUAUUUAUGGUAAGAACUGAUUGUAUGAUCAUCUGAGAGCUGUGUGACUGUAUAAACUCUUCUAGAAAAGGUUUAUC
ensembl:lncRNA